GAUGAAGAACGCAGCGAAAUGCGAUACUUGGUGUGAAUUGCAGAAUCCCGUGAACCAUCGAGUCUUUGAACGCAAGUUGCGCCUCAAGCCAUUAGAUUGAGGGCACGUCUGCCUGGGCGUCACAUAUCGUUGCCUGAUGCCAGUUUCCUCGUGAUGGGUGACUGUGCAGGGCGAAUGAUGGCUUCCCGUGAGCAUUGUUGCCUCAUGGUUGGUUGAAAAUUGAGUCCUUGGUAGGGAGCGCCGUGAUAGAUGGUGGUUGAGUGACGAACGAGACCCAAUCAUGUGAGACCCCUACCGAAUUUGGCCUUCAUGACCCACAUGCGUCUUUGGAACGCUCAUGACGAGACCUCAGGUCAGGCGGGGCUACCCGCUGAGUUUAAGCAUAUCAAUAAGCGGAGGA
rnacentral:misc_RNA from 1 species